UGUCUUUUAAAUGAAGACCUGUAUGAAUGGCAUAACGAGGGCUUAACUGUCUCCUCCCCCCAGUCAAUGAAAUUGAUCUCCCCGUGCAGAAGCGGGGAUAACAACAUAAGACGAGAAGACCCUGUGGAGCUUAAAAUCACGAACAGACCAUGUCAAGAAUAACAAACAAGAACAUCAAACAAAUUGGCCACUGUUUAUGUAUUUUUGGUUGGGGCGACCGCGGGGCAAUAAAUAACCCCCAUGUGGACUAAGAAAACAUUCUUAAAACUAAGAGCCCCCGCUCUAAGUAACAGAACUUCUGACCUUAAUGAUCCGGCCUGGCCGAUCAACGAACCCAGUUACCCCAGGGAUAACAGCGCAAUCCUCUUCUAGAGCCCAUAUCGACAAGAGGGUUUACGACCUCGAUGUUGGAUCAGGACAUCCUAAUGGUGUAGCCGCUAUUAAGGGUUUGUUUGUUCAACAAUUAAAGU
rnacentral:rRNA from 2 species